rnacentral:rRNA from 1 species
UGAACGCUGGCGGCGUGCCUACUACAUGCAAGUCGAGCGAACAGAUGAGGAGCUUGCUCCUCUGACGUUAGCGGCGGACGGGUGAGUAACACGUGGAUAACCUACCUAUAAGACUGGGAUAACUUCGGGAAACCGGAGCUAAUACCGGAUAAUAUAUUGAACCGCAUGGUUCACUAGUGAAAGACGGUUUUGCUGUCACUUAUAGAUGGAUCCGCGCCGCAUUAGCUAGUUGGUAAGGUAACGGCUUACCAAGGCAACGAUGCGUAGCCGACCUGAGAGGGUGAUCGGCCACACUGGAACUGAGACACGGUCCAGACUCCUACGGGAGGCAGCAGUAGGGAAUCUUCCGCAAUGGGCGAAAGCCUGACGGAGCAACGCCGCGUGAGUGAUGAAGGUCUUCGGAUCGUAAAACUCUGUUAUUAGGGAAGAACAAAUGUGUAAGUAACUAUGCACGUCUUGACGGUACCUAAUCAGAAAGCCACGGCUAACUACGU